rnacentral:tRNA from 1 species
UGGGGAAUAGUCUAGUGGUAGGACAGCGGACUCUGGAUCCGCCAGGGAAGGUUCGAAUCCUUCUUCCCCAGCUA